ACGACUUCACCGUGCCGCCGCCGCCGCGCCGCCCUCGCCGCCGCGGUGCCUGGCGGUGGAGCUCCGGCACCGGCACCUCCAGCACGGUGUCGAGGCCGUCCUCCCGGUCAAGGGUCAAGUGGCAGCAGCAAUGCAGGGGUGACAUGCGAUUUGACAGAUAGAUCUGUGCUCUGGAAGAGGACAAGUUGCUGAUGCGAGAUCAAACACGCACUGGCGAAUUUGCAGGCAUGUGCAGCGGCAGAGUAGUUGUAGAUCGAGUUAAUUGUAUGGAGAGAGCAUAAUCUUGGUUUGGGAUUGGCAGCUUGCCCGACAUCGAAAUAAUAUAGGACAUGGCGAAAAUUCGGCGUUGAUUAGGGGCGUACAGUGUGUGAUCCGACCGAAUAAAUCUAGAUACUUCGUAUCGUCAAAAUCGCCAUAAAUUGUGUCUGUUUUUAGGGAGCCCAUGUACCUUUAUUUCAUGCGUGCAUUCGUUGUCGAUGCCAGGAAUGGUAAAUUGGUACUAGUAUAAUUUUUCAGAUGAUAUGCUAUCGGGUUAUCCUGGAUAUGUAAUAAAGUAGCUGAUCGUCUGGUUUGGUCUGUUU